UGCAUAUCAAUAAGCGGAGGAAAAGAAACCAACAGGGAUUGCCUCAGUAACGGCGAGUGAAGCGGCAACAGCUCAAAUUUGAAAUCUGGCCUCUUUGGGGUCCGAGUUGUAAUUUGUAGAGGAUGUUUCGGGCACCGCUCCGGUUUAAAUUUCUUGGAACAGAAUGUCAAAGAGGGUGAGAACCCCGUCUUGGACCGGCAGUAGGGCCCAUGUGAAACUCCUUCGACGAGUCGAGUUGUUUGGGAAUGCAGCUCAAAAUGGGUGGUAAAUUUCAUCUAAAGCUAAAUAUUGGCCAGAGACCGAUAGCGCACAAGUAGAGUGAUCGAAAGAUGAAAAGCACUUUGAAAAGAGAGUUAAACAGUACGUGAAAUUGUUGAAAGGGAAGCGCUUGCAACCAGACUUGCGCGCGGCGGUUCCCCCUUCCUUUUGGUUGGGUUAUUCCGCCGUGUCCAGGCCAACAUCGGUUCUGGGGGUCGGUUAAAGGCCUGGGGAAUGUAUCUACCCUUCGGGCGUAGACUUAUAGCCCCGGGUGUCAUGCGACCUCCCGGGACCGAGGAACGCGCUUCGGCUCGGAUGUUGGCGUAAUGGUUGUCAGCGACCCGUCUUGAAACACGGACCAAGGAGUCUAACAUCUAUGCGAGUGUUUGGGUGUCAAACCCGGAACGCGGAAUGAAAGUGAACGGAGGUAGGAAGCUUCGGCUGCACUAUCGACCGAUCCUGAUGUCUUCGGAUGGAUUUGAGUAAGAGCAUAGCUGUUGGGACCCGAAAGAUGGUGAACUAUGCCUGAAUAGGGUGAAGCCAGAGGAAACUCUGGUGGAGGCUCGCAGCGGUUCUGACGUGCAAAUCGAUCGUCAAAUUUGGGUAUAGGGGCGAAAGACUAAUCGAACCAUCUGGUAGCUGGUUCC
rnacentral:rRNA from 1 species